UAUGCUCGUGCAUUGAACUGUUGAAUUUGCGAUCUCAUCAAUGGAAAACUCACAUUAUUUUGCAUUGUGGGCAAACAUCGAGUUCCUGUGUUGCAUACCCAGUAAAGUGGAAAUUGAUUACGUUGCGGAUUAAUUUUCACCUCAUGCCUAUGAACGACAUGUGGUGAACGUAAAAGCACCUCUUUUGAUCCAAACAUGUUCAUUCAACUGUUAUGGCACAUUAGAAGGUCGCUCGUGGUUUCAGAUACGGAAGUCCAUUUGUAGCUAAGGGGUCGGAUCCCUUAAUUGCUCGAAAUGUCCUUAAUAAUCGAACGACACACAGUGCUUGUUUCCUAACCUUUAGCAUGCUACAAGGUAAGCAUGUUGGGGAAUGGAGCGGGUGCUGAGGUCGUGAAGGAAUGC
rnacentral:misc_RNA from 1 species